GGGGUGAAGGAACUAGGCAAAAUGGCACCGUAACUUCGGGAGAAGGUGCGCCCUUUGACGUGGUCACAUGCGUGACUGAGCGUUGAAGGGUCGCAGUAACCUGGCCGCUGCGACUGUUUAUCAAAAACACAGCACUCUGCAAACACGUAAGUGGACGUAUAGGGUGUGACGCCUGCCCGGUGCUGGAAGGUUAAUUGAUGGGGUCAGCCGCAAGGCGAAGCUCUUGAUCGAAGCCCCAGUAAACGGCGGCCGUAACAAUAACGGUCCUAAGGUAGCGAAAUUCCUUGUCGGGUAAGUUCCGACCUGCACGAAUGGCGUAACGACAGCGGCGCUGUCUCCACCCGAGACUCAGUGAAAUUGAAUUCGCUGUGAAGAUGCAGCGUUCCCGCGGCAAGACGGAAAGACCCCGUGAACCUUUACUAUAGCUUUACACUGAACGUUGAGUUCUUCUGUGUAGGAUAGGUGGGAGGCUUUGAAGCGCAGACGCUAGUUUGCGUGGAGCCAACCUUGAAAUACCACCCUGAAGUGCUUGACGUUCUAACCUCGGCCCGUAAUCCGGGUCAGGGACCGUGUAUGGUGGGUAGUUUGACUGGGGCGGUCUCCUCCCAAAGAGUAACGGAGGAGCACGAAGGUACGCUCAGCGCGGUCGGACAUCGCGCACUGUGUGCAAUGGCAUAAGCGUGCUUGACUGCGAGAUCGACGGAUCAAGCAGGUACGAAAGUAGGUCAUAGUGAUCCGGUGGUUCUGUAUGGAAGGGCCAUCGCUCAACGGAUAAAAGGUACUCCGGGGAUAACAGGCUGAUACCGCCCAAGAGUUCAUAUCGACGGCGGUGUUUGGCACCUCGAUGUCGGCUCAUCACAUCCUGGGGCUGUAGCCGGUCCCAAGGGUAUGGCUGUUCGCCAUUUAAGUGGUACGCGAGCUGGGUUCAGAACGUCGUGAGACAGUUCGGUCCCUAUCUGUCGUGGGCGUUGGAGAUUUGAGGGGGGCUGCUCCUAGUACGAGAGGACCGGAGUGGACGUUCCGCUGGUGUUCGGGUUGUCAUGCUCAUGGCAUUGCCCGGUAGCUAUGAACGGAAGUGAUAACCGCUGAAAGCAUCUAAGCGGGAAGCACGCCCCAAGAUGAGAUCUCCCGAGAGCUUGACUCUCCUUAAGGCACCAUCAAGACCAGGUGGUUGAUAGGUCAGGUGUGGAAGCGUAGCAAUGCGUUGAGCUAACUGAUACUAAUGAGCCGUGAGGCUUGACCAA
rnacentral:rRNA from 1 species